GACGGGGGAUGCGAGCGUUAUCCGGAAUGAUUGGGCGUAAAGGGUCCGCAGGUGGCCCGGUCAGUCCGCUGUCAAAGCCUGGGGCUCAACCCUGGAGAGGCGGCGGAGACCACCGGGCUUGAGUCCGGUAGGGGCAGAGGGAAUUCCCGGUGGAGCGGUGAAAUGCGUAGAGAUCGGGAAGAACGCCAAGGGUGAAGGCACUCUGCUAGGCCUGAUUUCGCGACUGACACUCAGGGACGAGAGCCAGGGGAGCGAAUGGG
rnacentral:rRNA from 1 species